CGGAAACCCCUCAUUUCAAGGCAUGAGGGCUUUAAAACUCCCCAAAGGAGAUUGCCGAGUGCUCCCCCGAGUAGGAGGUGUCCUGGAGAGGUUUGUGAGCAGAAGCCUAGGCUCAGGAUGCAAAUUUAAUGGAGAGUAA
rnacentral:lncRNA from 12 species